GACGAACCGUGCGAACGUUAUUCGGAAUCACUGGGCUUAAAGGGCGCGUAGGCGGGCCACCAAGUCAGGGGUGAAAUCCCACGGCUCAACCGUGGAAGUGCCCUUGAUACUGGUGGCCUCGAGGGAGGUAGGGGCGUGCGGAACUUCCGGUGGAGCGGUGAAAUGCGUAGAUAUCGGAAGGAACACCGGUGGCGAAAGCGGCGCGCUGGACCUCUUCUGACGCUGAGGCGCGAAAGCCAGGGGAGCAAACGGG
rnacentral:rRNA from 1 species